rnacentral:lncRNA from 10 species
GUUUUAAGGGGUUUAGAAGCCUGGUCGUCAAUACCCACAACAGUUACGGAGGCAAGGGAAACAGGCCCUUGAAAAGAAGGUAAUGUGGAAUGGGUAGCCUCCAUAUUGAUUAAGAAGGGGAUGGAUUUACCCUCCACUGUGAGAGUUACCCAAAGAUCGGCAUCCGUGAUAGGCUAGGGGGCUUCCAAAGCGAUCGGGCAGCAUCAGUCUUCAAGUGCUAAGCCGAGAAGAUGUGGGAAGGAGUCAGAGAGCCAUGGGCCAGGGUUCCAGGGGCUCUGGGAGUGGCUGCCAGAUUUAGUUCAGCCUGGUGUGGAUGCAUUUCAGAA